rnacentral:rRNA from 1 species
CUACGGGACGCACCAGGCGCGAAACCUUUACAAUGCACGCAAGUGUGAUAAGGGAAUCCUGAGUGCUCAUGCAAUGCAUGGGCUUUUGCCAAGAGUAAAUAUCUUGGCGAAUAAGUGGUGGGCAAUACCUGUGCCAGCCGCCGCGGUAAUCCAGGAGCCACAAGUGGCAACCACUUUUAUUGGGUCUAAAGCGUCCGUAGCCGGUUAUGUAAAUCUCCUGUGAAAUUGUCGGGCUCAACCCUACAGCGCGCAGGAGAGACUGCAUAACUAGGGACCGGGAGGCGUCAGAGGUAUUUUGGGGGGAGCGGUAAAAUGCUAUAAUCCCCAAAGGACCGCCUGUGGCGAAGGCGUCUGACGAGAACGGAUCCGACGGUGAGGGACGAAAGCUAGGGGAGCAAUCCGGAUUAGAUACCCCCGUAGUC